rnacentral:rRNA from 1 species
UACAGAGGGGGCAAGCGUUAUUCGGAAUUAUUGGGCGUAAAGGGCGCGUAGGCGGCUUGGCAAGUGGAUGGUGAAAUCCCUCGGCUUAACCGAGGAACUGCCGUCCAAACUGCUUUGCUUGAGGCCGGGAGAGGUGAGUGGAAUUCCCAGUGUAGCGGUGAAAUGCGUAGAUAUUGGGAGGAACACCAGUGGCGAAGGCGGCUCACUGGACCGGUUCUGACGCUGAUGCGCGAAAGCGUGGGGAGCAAACGGGG